GUGGGGAAUUUUGGACAAUGGGGGCAACCCUGAUCCAGCCAUUCCGCGUGAGUGAAGAAGGCCUUCGGGUUGUAAAGCUCUUUCGGCAGGAACGAAACGGUGAGCUCUAACAUAGCUCGCUAAUGACGGUACCUGAAGAAGAAGCACCGGCUAACUACGUGCCAGCAGCCGCGGUAAUACGUAGGGUGCAAGCGUUAAUCGGAAUUACUGGGCGUAAAGCGUGCGCAGGCGGUUAUAUAAGACAGAUGUGAAAUCCCCGGGCUCAACCUGGGAACUGCAUUUGUGACUGUAUAGCUAGAGUACGGUAGAGGGGGAUGGAAUUCCGCGGGUAGCAGUGAAAUGCGUAGAUAUGCGGAGGAACACCGAUGGCGAAGGCAAUCCCCUGGACCUGUACUGACGCUCAUGCACGAAAGCGUGGGGAGCAAACAGGAUUAGAAACCCCUGUAGUCC
rnacentral:rRNA from 1 species